rnacentral:tRNA from 1 species
GGGCCGGUCGUUCAGCCUGGCUAGGACGCCGCCCUCACACGGCGGAGAUCGCAGGUUCAAAUCCUGCCCGGCCCACCA